GGGCCUGUAGCUCAGCUGGGAGAGCGCUGCGUUCGCAAUGCAGAGGUCAGGGGUUCGAGCCCCCUCAGGUCCA
rnacentral:tRNA from 1 species